AAGUUUUUUUACAGAACAGCCGUUUAUUUGGAAGCACUGGAGGCCAGAAAAACCAUUUCCAAAUAAGUAAAAAUCUUUUUUAAUAUUUUUCGAUCGACCGUAACGAUGUAAUAUUUCGUGAAAAUAUUGUGGGUACUCCAAUCUGCUUCGUAGAUUUCAGAUACAUCAAGAGCCCAAUCUUGAGGAGCAAUAUUAUCUAAAACUGUAUCUGGGAGAGGUAUUCGAUCUGGUACCCGAUCAUGAACCAUGGCGAGAGAAGUAGUGGGAAACGAGGUUCUUCUCUGAGUGGAGCUGGAAGCAGUGGCUGCCUUUGGUAAACAUCACUGGAUUGCGCCAUCCCACUGCUGCUGGCAUCAACAGUAGCUUCAGUAUCUUUAUUUUGACUACCUUCACCAAGUGGUUUGUCAAAACUUCCGUAAUCG